GGGUGUGUAGCUCAGUUGGUAGAGCACUUGACUUUUAAUCAAGUUGUCCCGGGUUCGAACCCCGGCACGCUCACGA
rnacentral:tRNA from 1 species